rnacentral:rRNA from 1 species
GAUGAACGCUGGCGGCGUGCUUAACAUAUGCAAGUCGAACGAUGAAGCCCAGCUUGCUGGGUGGAUUAGUGGCGAACGGGUGAGUAACACGUGAGUAACCUGCCCUUGACUCUGGGAUAAGCCCGGGAAACUGGGUCUAAUACCGGAUAGGAGCGCCUGUCGCAUGACGGGUGCUGGAAAGAUUUUUCGGUCAUGGAUGGACUCGCGGCCUAUCAGCUUGUUGGUGAGGUAAUGGCUCACCAAGGCGACGACGGGUAGCCGGCCUGAGAGGGUGACCGGCCACACUGGGACUGAGACACGGCCCAGACUCCUACGGGAGGCAGCAGUGGGGAAUAUUGCACAAUGGGCGGAAGCCUGAUGCAGCGACGCCGCGUGAGGGAUGACGGCCUUCGGGUUGUAAACCUCUUUCAGUAGGGAAGAAGCGGAAGUGACGGUACCUGCAGAAGAAGCACCGGCUAACUACGUG